AACGAACGCUGGCGGCAUGCCUAACACAUGCAAGUCGAACGAUACCUUCGGGUCUAGUGGCGCACUGGUGCGUAACGCGUGGGAACCUUCCCUUAGGUUCGGAAUAACUCCCCGAAAGGGGUGCUAAUACCGGAUAAUGUCUUCGGACCAAAGAUUUAUGGCCUUUGGAUGGGCCCGCGUUGGAUUAGCUAGUUGGUAGGGUAAAAGCCUACCAAGGCGACGAUCCAUAGCUGGUCUGAGAGGAUGAUCAGCCACACUGGGACUGAGACACGGCCCAGACUCCUACGGGAGGCAGCAGUGGGGACUAUUGGACAAUGGGCGAAAGCCUGAUCCAGCAAUGCCGCGUGAGUGAUGAAGGCCUUAGGGUUGUAAAGCUCUUUUACCCGGGAUGAUAAUGACAGUACCGGGAGAAUAAGCGCCGGCUAACUCCGUG
rnacentral:rRNA from 1 species